GCCCAGCAGGGGACUGGCGAGGGCUGGGCCUCGGAUGUCGGGUUCAGAAUGGUGACAGCUUCCUCCUGCCUGACCCCUAGGCCUUUGCCCAGGAGACCCUGCGGACGCUGUGCCUGGCCUACAGGGAGGUACCUGAGGACAUUUACGAGGAGUGGCAGCCACGCCACCAGGAGGCCAGCCUCCUGCUGCAUAACCGGGCACAGGCCCUGCAGCAGGUGUACAGUGAAAUGGAACAGAACCUCAAGCUCCUGGGAGCCACAGCGAUCGAGGACAGACUCCAGGACGGCGUCCCUGACACCAUCAAGUGUCUCAGGAAGAGCAACAUCAAAAUAUGGGUGCUCACCGGGGACAAGCAGGGUGAGUCCUGGGGGCUCAGGGUGGCUGAACCCCACAGCGUGGAUCUUAAAUCUUUCCCCAAGUCCCAGGCGGGGCGCAGUGGCUCACACUUGUCAUCCCAGCACUGUGGGAGGCCAAGGCAGGGGGAUCACCUGAGGUCAGGAGUUCGAAACCAGCCUAGCCAACACGGUGAAACACCAUCUCUACUGAAAAUACAAAAAUGGGCCAGGUGCGAUGGUGGGCCCUUGUAUCCCAGCUACGUGGGAGGCUGAGGCAGAGAAUUGCUUGAACCAGGAGGCAGAGGUUGCAGUGAGCUAAGACUGUGCCACUGCACUCCAGCCUGGGGGAGAGAGUGAGACUCCAUCUCAAAAAAAAAAAGGCUGCUAGUCUCAGAGGGUGCAGUGGCAGAUGCUCCAGAGGCUAAGGUGGGAGUCUGGCUUGUGCCCAGGAGGUGGAGACUGAGUGGGCUGUGAUUGUGCCACUGCACUCCAGCCUGGGUGAAAGAAUGAGCCCUUCUCUCAAAAACAAACAAACAAACCAAAAAAAAAAAAAAAGUGAUUCUCAGGGUGGCCUCUUUUGGCCAGGAGCCAGCCCAGGCAAAAACAGUAAGUUUUUUCCCUUCUGAUUUAAAAAGAUACUAAGGCCGGGCGCGGUGCCUCAUACCUAUACUCCAGCACUUCGGGAGCUAAGGCAGGUGGACCACCUGAGGUCAUAGUUUGAGACCAGCCCGGCUGCCCACAUAGAGAAACCCUCUCUACUAAAAAUGGAAAAAAAAAAAAAAAAUUAGCGAGGCGUGGUGGCACCUGCCUGUGGUCCCAGCUACUCAGGAGGCUGAGGCAGGAGAAUCGCUUGAACCUGGGAGGUGGAGGCUGCACGAUUGUACUGCAGCCUUGGCAACAAGAGUGAAACUCUCUCUCAGAAAAAAGAAAAAAGGAAAUUAAGACAUUUUGUGGGAUCCUGAGGCACGUGGGUGCUACACCAUGUGCCUGAUGAUCCCGGCCUCAGACAUCCCCGGGCAGUCCAGGGCCCGGCCAGAAUCUCAGGGCUGGCUCUCAUUGGCCAGCCUUGGUUACAAGCCCUUCUCUGAACCAAUCACUAUGGCCAGGGGAUGGGGCAAGCGGCUGCCAUUGGUCGGGGGUGGGUUCACCGGCUGAGU
rnacentral:lncRNA from 13 species